AAGAGACCUCAGUGACAUUCUCUGCUUCAGCCUCAGGGGCCGAGGAACUGGGGCUGGCAGCCAGCAGGGUCCCAUCAUGGUUCCAGCGACAGGCAACAGCCUCCUCAUGGAGCCCCCUGCAAGGUUCCAGCAACAGAAAAGUAUGGUGAUCAAGAAGAAUUCCAUGCACUGCAUUCCAAUUUUAGAGUCUUCUUUUCCAAAAUUAAAAGGUCUGCUCUAGAAGGUGAGAUGCAGCAGCAUGAGCUGUACAAACAGGCCCAGAACGGAAGGUAAUUGCUAGGACAGCUACACCAUGCUGAAGCCUGUGUUGUCACAACAUCACUCUGCUAGUACCUGAGCUAGCUCAGAUAUGUCUAGCUGCAAUUGCACUCUGUGAUUGCAGUGAAGAUGUGCUUAGCCUUGAAAGUUAAAAACAACCCAGAUAAAUAAAAAAUCAACUCAUAUCUACUGUGUGCCACCUUGAAACUACAUUUCUACUCUGUUAAAGUUUUCCUUUCAAUUUCCUUUUGUAGGCAGAAAUGUAUUUGGAUAAGUGUAAUGGUGCUUUGGGAUUCAAUUGGUAAUGAAUUCCUGGAGAGGAUUAAAAUUAAUA